AGAAAGAUCCCCUGGGAUCUUGUUAAAAUGCAGGUUCUGAUUCAGCAGGUCUGAGGUAGAGACAUAGUCUGAACAUCUGAUAAGCUUCUGAGUGAUGAUGAU
rnacentral:pre_miRNA from 1 species